CCUACGGGUGGCAGCAGUGGGGAAUAUUGCACAAUGGGGGAAACCCUGAUGCAGCGACGCCGCGUGAGUGAAGAAGUAAUUCGUUAUGUUAAGCUCUAUCAGCAGGGAAGAAAAUGACGGUACGUGAGUAAGAAGCCCCGGCUAACUACGAGCCACCAGCCGCGGUAAUACGUAGGGGGCAAGCGUUAUCCGGAUUUACUGGGUGUAAAGGGAGCGUAGACGGCAGUGCAAGUCUGGAGUGAAAGGCGGGGGCUCAACCCCCGGAGUGCUCUGGAAACUGUACGGCUGGAGUGCAGGGGAGGUAAGUGGAAUUCCUGGUGUAGCGGUGAAAUGCGUAGAUAUUAGGAGGAACCCCAGUGGCGAAGGCGGCUUACUGGACUGUAACUGACGUUGAGGCUCGAAAGCGUGGGGAGCAAACAGGAUUAGAUACCCGUGUAGUC
rnacentral:rRNA from 1 species